UGGGGAAUAUUGCACAAUGGGGGGAACCCUGAUGCAGCGACGCCGCGUGAAGGAAGAAGUAUCUCGGUAUGUAAAGCUCUAUCAGCAGGGAAGAUAAUGACGGUACCUGAGUAAGAAGCUCCGGCUAAAUACGUGCCAGCAGCCGCGGUAAUACGUAUGGAGCAAGCGUUAUCCGGAUUUACUGGGUGUAAAGGGAGUGUAGGCGGCUUUGCAAGUCAGAUGUGAAAGCCCGGGGCUCAACCCCGGGACUGCAUUUGAAACUGUGAAGCUGGAGUGUCGGAGAGGUAAGUGGAAUUCCUAGUGUAGCGGUGAAAUGCGUAGAUAUUAGGAAGAACACCAGUGGCGAAGGCGGCUUACUGGACGAUUACUGACGCUGAGGCUCGAAAGCGUGGGGAAGCAGACAGGAUUAGAUACCCUGGUAGU
rnacentral:rRNA from 1 species